UAUCAAGGUAAUGCAGGAAUUUGUUGAGUUCUGUAAAUCAAAGAUAUCGAAUCAGGAUAACAAUCUAUCUCAUCACUUGAAGAAAAAUCUUAAUACAGUAAAGGAGGACCGUACUGAUUCAUAUAAUUUCAAGGAAAAGCUUAUCCUCUAUUUUGGUGAUUACU